CGGAAUCACUGGGCUUAAAGGGCGCGUAGGCGGCUCGGCCAGUCGGGGGUGAAAUCCCACGGCCUAACCGUGGAAGUGCCUCCGAUACUGCGGGGCUGGAGGGAGGUAGGGGCAGCGGGAACUUCGGGUGGAGCGGUGAAAUGCGUUGAUAUCCGAAGGAACGCCGGUGGCGAAAGCGCGCUGCUGGACCUCUUCUGACGCUGAGGCGCGAAAGCCAGGGGAGCAAACGGG
rnacentral:rRNA from 1 species